GUAAAAUGUCAGAAAUGUCAAAGAUCUAGGUUAACCGGCCAAUUGCACGAGAGAUAUUUUGUUAUGCAAUUAUGAUGGCGGAAAUUGUAUCGAGUGAUGUAAUAUGUGUAUUGUGUUGUGAUGUUGUGAGUGGAUAUGUUUAUUGUGUGAAUCAUGAGUAUUAGUGUGGUGUGGGGCGAACACGUCAAAGCUAACCCAUAGCGGAUGUCCAUGCGAUACAUAUUUAUGAGAUGCUUUCCAAGGAUAAUUCAAGGUCCAGAAGUGAUACUACUUAGGAUGAAUAUGGAGUGAAGCAGACAGGAGGCAGCCAAACCACUCCACAACACUGCUGGGGAACCCCCAAGGACUGUGGGCCAUAACUCAUAAGGCCCCUUAUAGGUGGAGGAAGGUCAUUCCAGCAGUGUGUGGCUGCAAAUCUGAAGCUACCCCUGAAGGCUGCAGUUUUGUGAAGUGGGACCCUCAGCGGAGCAACUAUGGAGCGAAGACCAUGUCUGUAGCAUGUUUCUUUCCAUAUAAGUUUUUCAAAUAAGUAGUGCGGCUUGUGGGUUGAAACGAUUCCAAACAUCAGGCUGGCAAGAUGCAGUUUUCGCCUGGCAGCCAUUUUUAACAUUUU